AAUAUUCCAAAUGCCAGGCUGGAUUCCCUCCAAUUACCAGGACCUCCAGGCUUCUCCUCCUUUCAAGAACUUUCUGACCCUGGAUCCAGUCUAAAUGUUGGUUAUAAACUCACCUGACAUCCACAGGGCCCUUCCAAAAUACUGUCAAGGCUGACUGCUGGUGCCUGGAACCUGCACACCCUCCUGGGACUCUGCAUCUCUGCUGGGGCUGGUUUCUCCUCUGAGCCACCUUAAGGAAUCCCACCCUGACCCGGAAAUACUACGACAAUGGGACUUUGGGAAUG
rnacentral:lncRNA from 1 species